UACGGGGGGGGCAAGCGUUGUUCGGAAUUACUGGGCGUAAAGGGCUCGUAGGUGGCCAACUAAGUCAGACGUGAAAUCCCUCGGCUUAACCGGGGAACUGCGUCUGAUACUGGAUGGCUUGGAUCCGGGAGAGGGAUGCGGAAUUCCAGGUGUAGCGGUGAAAUGCGUAGAUAUCUGGAGGAACACCGGUGGCGAAGGCGGCAUUCUGGACUACAACUGACACUGAGAAACGAAAGCCAGGGGAGCAAACGGG
rnacentral:rRNA from 1 species